GAUGAACGCUGGCGGCGUGCCUAAUACAUGCAAGUCGAGCGAACAGACGAGGAGCUGGCUCCUCUGACGUUAGCGGCGGACGGGCGAGUAACACGUGGAUAAUCUACCUAUAAGACUGGGAUAACUUCGGGAAACCGGAGCUAAUACCGGAUAAUAUAUAGAACCGCAUGGUUCAAUAGUGAAAGACGGUUUUGCUGGCACUGAUAGAUGGAUCCGCGCCGCAUUAGCUAGUUGGUAAGGCAACGGCUUACCAAGGCAACGAUGCGUAGCCGACCUGAGAGGGUCAUCCGCCACCCUGGAACUGAGACACGGUCCCGACUCCUACGGGAGGCAGCAGUAGGGAAUCUUCCGCAAUGGCCGAAAGCCUGACGGAGCCACGCCGCGUGAGUGAUGAGGGUCUUCGGCUCGUACAACUCUGUUAUUAGGGCAGAACAAAUGUGUAAGUAACUCUGCCCGUCUUGACGGUACCUACUCAGAAAGCCACGGCUAACUACGUG
rnacentral:rRNA from 1 species